ACUACCACCGGCGAACUGGUCCCGCGAAACACGGCCCGCGGAGCACGACCCAUGGCCGCGGCGGCCCCGGCGGGCGGCGGCCGCGGGGAGUGCAUCCCGGCGGAGCCUUUACAGAACCCCUCGGGCGCGGCGAGCGCCAAGGAAUUUGAUAAGCGGAGAGGGCGGGCGGCCCGCCCGGUGGCAGCCCGUCCCGGCCGGGGAUGGGGCAUCGGCGUGCGGAACCACCGCCCCCUCGGGAAUCGCACAGACGACUCUCGGCAACGGAUAUCUCGGCUCUCGCAUCGAUGAAGAACGUAGCGAAAUGCGAUACUUGGUGUGAAUUGCAGAAUCCCGCGAACCAUCGAGUCUUUGAACGCAAGUUGCGCCCGAGGCCCGCUCGGCCGAGGGCACGCCUGCCUGGGCGUCACGCCACCCAUCGUCCCCCCGCCCGCGGCAUCCCGUGCCCGGGCGGGGAGCGGAGACUGGCCGCCCGUGCCCGAGUCCUCGGCGCGCGGCCGGCAGAAAUGGAGGAGACACCGUGCGGCGAGACGCGGCGUGUGUGGGCCGAGAGGCGCAUCGUCGCCGAUCCUGUACGCCGCGCCGCCGCUCGCAGUGUCGCCCGCGGGACCCAGCUCGGACCGCGACCCCAGGUCAGGCGUGGCCACCCGCUG
rnacentral:rRNA from 1 species